rnacentral:lncRNA from 1 species
GCAUCAAAGUUUCAUGUUUUCAAGUGGUUGCAAAUGUGUUCACAACUUAGUUUACUUUCAUUAUUUUUAUCUAACCAUUCGUGUGUUAAGUUAUGAGAUAUUUGGAAUCUAGUUUUGUUAAGCAUUGUUGGUCUCAAUAUUUAUCUUUUGCGUGUCUUGUUAAGUUGUGUUUUGAUGUCAAUUUAUAGUUCUUUUAGGUACAUAUGGCUGACCACUUCUUCACACAAGUGUUGUAACAACUCGUUUUUCAGUGGUGUCAGAAACAGUAGUUUCGAGGCCACCAAAUCUAACAAGUAAGUUUUUAAAUAUUAUUAUUUAAUAUUUACGAGUCAAAUAUGAUUAUAAAAAGACUUUUGAUUUGUAAAUUUAUGUUAUAUAAGCGAUUUAUUAAGUUCAAGUGGUAAGACCUUAAGGUUAAGUGGUUUUAGAAAAUGAGGUAUCGAGACCUCGUUUCUAUAAAAUGAUUCGUAAAUAUUUUUAUAAAUAUUUACAAAGUGUCAUUAAGGUGGUAUUAAAUUUUCGUUUAAAAAUUUUAACAUUUCGAUAAUUAAUUAAUUAAAAAGGUCUAAAUCAUAAAAGAUGUAAAAUUUUAUCACUAUUUGAUUUGAGUGAUUAAAUGGUUAAUUGAAUAAAGGAAAAGGGAUUUAAAUGGUAAUUAGACCAUUCAAGGAGUUAGUGGACAAUUAUGGGCAUGAAAUUGGUGUUUUAUUUAUUAACCAGGUUAAAAUGAUAAUUUGAUAAUUAAAUUAAAAUAAAUAAAACCAAAAUGUUUUAUUCAUCUUUUACAAUCUUUCUUCACCGAUUGUUAAGGGAGGAAGAAGCCAUUUUUAAGCAUGGAGGUUUCGGCAAUUUCAAGUUUAAAUUGGUAUGUGAUUUUAGCCCCGUUUCUAAUAAUUUUUAUUUUUUUUAGAUCAUUGCAGCUACGUCCAACUAGCUCGUACCUUCGAUUUUGAAAUUGUUAAAGAUUGUGAAUGUUGCGAUUGAUGAAUCUAGUGAUUGUUUAUGUUAAAUAAUGAAUUUGAAAUAUUAUUUGGUAUUUAAAAGUAUUUUGUUAAGUGAUUUUCGAUGAAUUUAUCGAUUAGGGACUAAAUUGUUAAAAUAAUAAAAAUAAAUGGGUUGUAUUGGAUGCCAUAAGUAUUUGGCUAGGCUCAAUUUUUGGUAAAAAUGGUUAAUUUGCAUGUUUUAGGCUAAGGGACUAAAUUGAAUAAAAGUAAACCUUUAGGGGUAAAUUUUUAAAAAUGUCAAAAAUGACUAAAUUGUAUAAAAUAUAUUGUUUUACUAACUAAAUUAAUAAAUUGAAUGAAAUUAUUAAUUUAGAUCAAGAUCGAGUGGAAAAUCGAGGAGAAUGGAAAAUUACCAAAAUGCGACUGUACUUUGUCAUUUCUGUAAUUUAGUCAGGUAAGUUCGCAUGAACUAAAUUCUGUAUAAUGUUGAUUAAUUGAAUGAUAGCAUGUGAUUCUAUUGUGAUUGAAUCAAUAUAUAUGUUAUUAUGCAAUUUAUCUUGUCAAGAAACAAUAGAAAUUCAACGACGUAUGAUGACUAUUGAGCCCCGUUUGAACCCUAGGAAUAUAUAGGAUACAAAUGACAUGUCAUUGGGGUUUCCAUGUUUCGGGUGUAGGACUUGAACUUCCUAUCAGUGGCUGAGUUUCAGCAUGUGUUGCGGAUACUUGACAACUUGUGUGAGUAGCACCAUGUAGUUAUGUUCUGACCCAUAGCUUGUGUGAGCAAACCCAUUUAUGGCUCAAGAGAGGGCAUUUAUGUAAAGGAAAAGGAAAGAAAUGGUUUCGACUAUAUGUUAGCAGACAGUGUGUGAAAUUCUCGCGUAUUCGAUCUUAUUCUAAGUGGUUCAACAGGCAUACAAAGGGAAGGAAUGGUAAGUGUUUCGAUUGGCAAUGUCAUGAAAGUAUGAGUUGUUGAUGAUUAAAGUGUGUAUAGCCAUGUUCAUGAAAAGUAUGAAUGCUUAUAUGUUAUAUUCAUGAAAGUUAUUUUAUCAUGUGGUGAGUUUUGUUAAGUUAUGUGUUUAAUCACUAACUUGUGAAUAUGGUUAACGCCAUGUUUAUGUCUUAUGUGUUAUGCAAAUGAAAGGGUAAGUGUUUAAUAUGAAUUAAGAUAUGUAUACAUGAAACUUAUUGUAAUGGUGAUACAUGGAAAACAUGAUAUGUUAUGAGAUGGAUGAUAAAUCCAAUUGAAUUAUGCUAAAGUAUAAUGGUUAUCCAUGUCAAAUUCAUAUGAAUCAUAUUUAAAUGAACUAACUUGUGUUGUUGAUGUGUUUAGGCUUAUGCCAAGCUUGUGGAUAUGAUUGAUGUUUAUGAUUAUGCUUGUACUAUGCAUAUGAAAUGGGUAAGAAAAAGGAAUGAUACGGUAAAUACAUAAUUAGGAUUAUUACGAUGUUAUAAAAAGGUUUAAUGAGAUAAAUGAUGUAUUCAUAUGUUAGUAAAUUACUUAUGCUUUGUAUGAAUCUAUCUAUGUCAUGGAUAAAUACAUUGAAUUGUGAAUUAAUAAUGUUGUUUAGGCUUAUAAUAAGCAUUUGGGAAUGGAAAUGAAAGUAAGUAAAUAGAAAUAUAUACAACCUUAUAAAAAGGUUGAUGAUUAUAUAUUAUGUCUCAUGAAAUCUUAUCAUGUUAUGAAUGGUAAAUAAAUAUGCAACAUUAAGGAACUUACUCACUUGUGAGUUGAUGAUUAUGGUUUGAUAAAUCUUGAGACAUUAGUAUAGGUUUACUUUUAACCUAUAAAUUUCAUUAUUCAAAUGUAAUAUUAUGCUUAUGGUUUAUACGAGGUUACUAAGCAUUCAUUGCUUACGUAGUUAUCUUUCUCUUACUUUACAGAUUAUUGGAAGCUCGAUCAGGUUGGAAGCUAGUCGGAGAUCCAUCACACUAUCCAUCAAAUUUAUCGGUAGAUUUUGAUGCUCUGGUCGUGGUUAUAAUGGCAUGUAUAGGUGGGCGUUUGUCUAAUGUUUAGUCAAUAAUAUCUGUAUGUAAUGUUGCUUUGAAUUUGUGAAACUUAUGAUAUUUGAUGCCUUGAUGAUUGGUGUGUUUUUGGCACUUUGAUGUUUAAAGGUUGAUGAUUAUAAGAUCAAAUCAAUGCAUGUUUUAUGGCCAAAAUGGUAAGAGUUGACAUGUUUGCAAAGUGAUCGUUUAGGGCAUGUUUUGAUAUAAAAUUUAGUCAAGUCUGUUUGUUUGAAUUACGACCAUUUGGACAUAAUUUGGUAUGUAUUUAAUUUAUGUUGGUUAUUGGAACCCCUUGGAAUUGGUUAGAAUAGUGACAUUUAAAUCAUUGUGAUGCAUGUGAGAAGUAGUCCCAAUGGUAAGGUCAUUUUGAUAUGUUUGAUAUAGAAACAAGUUAAUCGAAAAAGGGCUAAAUAUGCACAUGUAUAAGUGUUUUGUGCUUGAUGAUAUAGCCAUUAUAUUUGGCUUGUAAUUAUGGUAUUUUUGAUGAUGCAUUAGUUGUUAUGUUGGCAUGUAUAUGUGGUCUUAUAAUGGUUAAUCUUUUGGCAUAUGGGUGCUUAAAAGUUGGGAGUUAGAAUGGUAUAUAAAAUGCAUGCUAUGAAAUGUUCUUUUGAUAUGCUUGAAUAUAGGUGCAAAUGACUUGUAAGGGUGUUCUUGAAUUGAGGGAAAUAAAUGACUUGAAUUUGGUCUAUUUCUUGUCCACAAAGCCUAAGACACGAGUGUGUGUCUUAGCCAUGUGUGACACACGACCACGCGACACGGUCGUGUGUCCCCUUUAGGUUUUUAAAGGUUGCAUUUUGAGAGUGACACAACCUGGCACACGGGUGUGUGACUUGGCCGUGUGACCAAAGUCAGAGAUUUACAGGGGCAUAGACACAAGCUGGGACACGACCGUGUGUCCCUACUUCGAAUGCCCACACAGCCUAAGACACAGGCGUUUGUCUCACACACAACCGUGUGACCCCUGUAGUAUGAAUUUUUUUAUCUUUUGCCAGGAAGUUCUAAAUGUUUUCGAUUUAGUCCCGAAUCGUUUCUAAAGUGUUUCUAAAGCCUCGAAGGCUCGAAAAAGGGUCGUUAUGCAUGUGUUUGAAUGGAAUAAAAUGUGUUUUAUAAAUGAUUGUAAUUGAAUGUUUUAAGUUAAAAGUCUUCGGUAAUGCUCUGUAACCCUAUUUUAGCGAUGGAUACAAGUUAAGGGUGUUACAAGUGUUAAGAGCAUUGCAUCUGUGACCUUUCAAAUUCCCUUCAAGAUUCAAUGUGUUUCAAAAUUCAUGCACUGCCAAAGAAGAGGAAUAUGACUCUUUAUGCAUGAAAAGAUACAUGAACGUCCAAGAGAGAUGAAUAUAACCUUUAAGUCAUUCAUUAAACAUGGAGAUACAUGCACCAUGUGACUUUUCAAAUAUCCAAUGCACCUAUAGAUUCAUUUGCCAUGCAUGAACGAUUCUAAGGGAGAAGGAUAUGUCAUUUGAAGAUUCAUGGAGCACCUCACAUUCAUGAACAGUAAGGGGGAAGCAUAGCAUUAAAUGAACAAACAUUGAAUGUGAAUAUACAUGUAUCUACACAAGAGGGAUGAAUCUACCCAUUCAUGCACUUCAAAAGGGGACGAAUUUGCUUAUUCAUGCAUCCAAAUGUUCAUGAAUGUCCAAGGAUGAUGAAUAUGACCAUUCGCUUAUACGUUGCACCUAUUUAUUCAUGUACUUCAUCAUACAAUGUACAACACCCAUACAUGUAUACACAUUAAUAGCCGAAUGUGUCUAUAGGUGUGCCUAGGUCUAUAAAUAGCUUUGCCAUUUCAUUUGUAAAGGUUAAUCAAUCAAAUUUUA